rnacentral:ncRNA from 1 species
GAUAAGGCAUUGAUGAAGAGUAGUAACCUUUACGAAUUCUUUAGAGAGCUGAUGGACGGUGCAAAUCAGUGUAGACGUAAUCGUGAAUGGACUUCUGAGCCCCAAACCGAACCCCAAAUGGAGUAGUAGGCUUUGGCGAAAAUCUCAUCGUUACAUGAGACAGAUAUUCAAGCGUUAUUAAAUGCUUUGAUAUCGGUAAAGUGAGCUAAUUUUUAGCUAAUGAAGGUGGCACCACGGGUCUCUCGUCCUUUUU